rnacentral:lncRNA from 1 species
CAUUCCGGUUACCGUUGUACCGCUGGAGCUUAAUUGAUUAAAUCCGGUUACUGUAACUGAACCGGUCGGUACAAAGUCAAAACCAUUAUCAAACCUCAAAACCUCAACUUGAGGUUGGUUUUGAUGAUGAUGAUUUGGACUAGUGUUACUUCCUCCUCCUGCUCCAAACGCUCUAAACAAUUCAUUCUGCUGCUGCUGCUGCUCUCUCGCAACCGCAUUAACCGCAGCUAGUUGCUGAGCCUCAAAAAUAUUUUGCUGUUGCUGAUGGUACAGUUGUCCAGUUGGAAUAGCCAUCAUUGGAAACAAGUUAUGAUGCAGUUGCUGCUGCUGAGUCAGCACAGACGCUGAAGAAGAGUAGGAAGACGGUCGCUGCGGCUGCGGCGGUAGAGACAUGAAAUGCGGUUGAGGAUGAUGCUGCGUUUGGAGAAUAGGAAGCAUAGCUUGAGGACCAACGUAAGCAGCGAGUUCUUUCUUGGCGUUUUCAAGAUCUUGUUGAAGCUGUUUAUGCCGAUGUUGAAGGAUCGAGAUUAAACCUACGCAACCAUACACAGGGUCGCGGAGUCGAGCUUCGGCUUCGUAGAAAAGAGAGUUAACCGCGUCUUCUCUUUGGUUAGCGGCAAUCUCGUUGAGAAGCUUAGCGACAUUACUUGCACCGAAGACUUUGUGAACAUAAGAGAAUUUUUGAGGGUUAUCUGGAGGGAAAUAUGGAGCGAAUACACACUCUUGUGUGCAUUUUCUCCUUAGGAACUUACAAGCUGCGCAUGGAGAGCUUGAAGACGCCAUUUUUGUUUCUCUGGAAAAGUCUGGAAGAAAAAAAUAUUCAGUUUGUUUGAUUAAAUAAACAGUUUCUUUUUUUAAUAUAAGAAAAUAGGGAUCGUGAAAGUAAAUGCAUCGAGGAAGCUUCAUGUCACAGUCAUUAGAGAUAACAUCGAGAAAAGGGGUAUCGUGAGUAGUGCAUACAAAAAUGUUCCGUACAAGAAAUACAAUAGUGAAACAACAAUAAAAUCUGAAUAUUUCAAAAAAAAAAACUAAUGGUGUAUUAUACUAGUGCUCUCUAACAAUAUGAUAAAACUAGAAAUGGUUACAAACCAGAGUAGAGAUGAUGGCGACCGUAUGACUUUCAAAUGUUUAUUCGAUUACAGAUCUGUGUUAUUAAAAAAAAAAAUGUAAGGGUAGUAUAAGAGAGAAGAUCAAACAGAUUUCAAAAUAAAACAAAACAUAAAUCAUCAUAAAUGAUAAUAAAGAAAAGAAAAAUCUAUCAAUAUCAAUCUAUGUCAAUCAAACAAGCAAAUCAUCAAACGAAAAAAGAAAAUCAGUCUUACCUCAAUUAAAUAUACAAAUCUUUCUCCUUUUCAAAACCUUUUUCACUCUGAUAUAUUUUUAGCUAGCUUCAUAUCGCACUCUCUUCAUCUCAUGAUUCCAUGAUCACAAAUAGGUUGAGUGAGCAAGAAGUUACUGAUGGGGUUCUAGGGUUUCUGAGAGAACCUGAUUAUUGAUCUGGUCUCAGAUUUAUUCCGCCCUAAGGCCCAAGAUUUAUAAACCGUGGAGAAGAGAAUAACGCUCAAGAAAGAAGAGGAAUAGGAAAUUGGGAAAAAGAAAAGAGCCUUUUCUAAUGACGGAGACGAUCAUUUAUAUACACGCCAGAAACUAUAACCGUUGAGAUUAGAGAGGGAGGUUUACAGCCGUCCGAUCUCAUAAUUAUUAUAUGAGGUUUUAAUACUAUUAAGCAACCGCGUACGUAAUUACAGUGCUGUCCAUGUACUAUUUCAUUUGUUUUUGUCUAAAUUACCCUUGAACUGCUGUCUCGGUCUCUAGAUAAGUCCUUUUCCAAAAUUCUAACUUUUUUUUUUGUUAUUACGUACCUGAGGAAAAUUCGAGCAAGCGAGAAGGUCAAAGGCGGUAACAUUUUUUCUUUUUUUUUUCAACUAACGAGAUGAAUCAAUGAUACUCCUUCUACCCUCCUCGCUCUCUGAAUUUGACUGCGUCUGAGUCUCCUGCGUUUGAAGUGGUAGCGGUUGGGAAGAUUGUGUAGGUAUGAACAACUGAGCCUCAUGAUGUUGCUGCUUUUGCUGAUGAUGAUGAUGUAAUUGCUGAUCCGUAUGAUAACUAUCAUUCGUGGGAGGACUAUCAACAAAGUUACCACCAAGAGCCAAAGACGGUGACAUUCCGGUUACCGUUGUACCGCUGGAGCUUAAUUGAUUAAAUCCGGUUACUGUAACUGAACCGGUCGGUACAAAGUCAAAACCAUUAUCAAACCUCAAAACCUCAACUUGAGGUUGGUUUUGAUGAUGAUGAUUUGGACUAGUGUUACUUCCUCCUCCUGCUCCAAACGCUCUAAACAAUUCAUUCUGCUGCUGCUGCUGCUCUCUCGCAACCGCAUUAACCGCAGCUAGUUG